UUCUGCAGCCCAUCUGCUUUUUUGUAUAUCUGCACUGGAACGGUGUAGAGAGAGAGAGAGAGAGAGAGAGAGAGAGAGAGAAUUAUAACCGUCAAUCUUAACUCUAUCCUGGUCAACACAAAACCCAACACAUAGACAUGAGUUAUACCUUGAGUUAACAAACUAGGUUUAGGGUUGUACUUCACACAUAUAAGGACACUCUCGCUUUGGAUUUCAUUUUUAGAGAUCUCUGCACAAACCCUAUUCUAAUCCAUCCCCAUCUCUCUCUGAAUAUAAUAUUAUAUUAGUUUUAUAUUUUAUUAUUAUGAAUUUUAGAGUCAAAAGUGCAAGCAAAUGAGGAGAAUUUAUUGAAUUAUGAGAAGCUUGCAAAUAAUCAGUCGUCUGUCGCCGUCGCCGGAAUCUACAACUCUCCACCGUCAAAGCCCUCUAUUUUCUCUCAUACUCCUCAAAUUGGGUCUAUGCUAGAGAACUCUACGAAAUCAGAGGAUUAGUUCCUCAACGCCCUUAACUGGAAUUUGGGUUUGGGUGGUGAGGGAGGGGUGAAGCGACGACUUGACUUUUGGAAAGGAGGACUCGGCUGUGAUGAGUCGGUGCGGCACCGGCGGGUAAGGAGAAGACGGGCUCAGCUGUGGUGAGGGAUGGCCGGUGAGGCGAAGCUCGGCUGUGAUGGAGGCGACGACGAGCAAGAGAGAGCUCGGCGAUGUGGCUCGCCGUGAUGGAGGCGGCGGUGAGCAAGAGAUGGAGAACGACAAAGAGAGCUCGGCCGGUGGAGGGAUGGACUGAAUCGGCUGCCCGCGAGCAACGGGCUGUGAUGGUGAACUCGCGGCGGUGAACUGCAGUCGGCUAUAAAAAGGACCUGGGCAUGGUGAUGGCAGCGUGCAUGAUACUGAGCCGUGGUACUUCGCAUCCGUGUGAUAUUUCAAAGUCAAGGCGAGAGGACCAAAACCCAGCCAUGAGCGUCGGAUCCCUCUCCUUGGCCGGCCCUCAACAUAAAGAAUCGUAAAAUAUGAUGCCGAAGAGGCAGUUUACUAUUGUAGGUGAAGGUGAACCAAGCCCGGUAUCGGAGACCAAUGCAGAGGUGAGUAAAAAGAAGAUGGGACGCCAGUUCUGGUCAAAAUCCACCAGUUCCUUAGCCGUCGCGUGCUGAAGCCGUCGUCAUUUCCGCCGAGUCUCCAAUGAAACAAUGUCCUGAAUCGUCGAGAGCGGCGGAGGAGAUGCCGCGGCCGGCGGUGCUGGACUGCCAGACGAUGGCACCAGAGCCGUGUCGUUUGGUGAGUUCCAAUUGCUAUUUUGGUUUGAGGCGUAGAGGGUUGAUCCUAAUUGGAUGUCUGUUGAUUCGGUGGUGAUGAUGAAGAAGAGUGAAAGUAAAAUUAGGUGUAGUAUAGAUUGGGGUUUCAUUUCCCUCUUUACUCUCUCUAGUCUCUGUGUUAGGGAUCCGAGUAAUUAAAUUAUGUGUGUAUAUCUUUCUACUUGUAA